GUUAAGGAACAGAGUUUGAUCUGAAAAAUAAAUGCACUCUUUUAAAUAAAUAGCCAUUGAGCUUUACUGGAAGCAAACAUUUUGCUGUGAGUAGCAGAGCUUGUUUCACGCUCAUCAGAUCACAUCUGUUUUUGAGAGCGAAGGGAGGAUGUUCUGUACCCCCCAUCCCCCACCUGGACAGCUGAAGCCUGUUAGAUUGAAUUCUGUUCAUUUGAACAGUGAGAAAAAACAAAGAAAAGAAAGAGAAAGGCUCCAGAUGCCCCUGAUGCUGCAGACGGCAGGGAGUGAAGAGAAGAAAACCCCAAAGUCAAGUUCACACAAUCACUGUGGCGGCAGGGAACUAUUACUCUAUUGCCGACAUGCAGGAAAAAUGCACAGCCUUUAAAAUAACCAGCUGCAUCAAGAACGUGGAGGGCUCUACAAUUGGGCUGACAAAAUAAUUUUAGACUACGUAAGAACUCAAGAAAACAAAUGACUUUCAUGGCUUGAAGCUCCUGCGUAGACCCAAAGAGCUUUCAACUGAUUCCUACACUUUGACAACUAUGCCUGCACUCUAGCGUAGGGAUCCUACAAACUAAUGUCUGGCAUGUUGGAAAAAGUAACUGGACAGUGAUGUAACCUCAUCUCAAACCAGAAACCUGCAUGCAAAAACCUCACAGAGGGGAGAUGGCCAACUCUUCAUUUAGUGAUGCCUUCAGACAGACCUGCAUGGGAUAUCUCUGAUUGUUCUCUCAGGGAUUCUAGUCAAUACAUUAGGAAACUUUAAAAUUACUUUAGAAGUGGCAAUUACUGAAGCAUCAUUAAAAAUGCAUUGAGCCACAUGUGUAAGAAAAACUGCACCCGCUGGCCUACUGCUAUUCUAAAUGGCUUUGUUACUCAUACUUUUGGGGUACAACCAGGCUGACGCUGCCUGAAAGAGCACUGCAUUGCCCUUUUCCACAUCUUGGGGCCUCCUGUCUCCUGAAAUGAGGCUGGUGUGAAGCAGCUACCGAGCGUGCCCUGCCCCUGCACGGCAGGCAUGGAUUCCCCAGCCCUCAUCCCCCUUUACCUUGUCAUCCUGUGAGUCUGGCUGGAGGAGGCUGUGCUGCUGGAUGGCCAUGGGUGGCGGCAGGGGCACGGCGUCGGCCCCCUCCUCGCCUUCCUCUUCUCCACAGCUCUGCAUCCCCGAGGAGGAGGAUUUGGAGAGAGUACCGCUGCUCAGGCCCUCGUUCCGGCCUCUCUGAAAUCCAGUCAAGAUUUGCUCAUUAUAUUCCAGGCCAGUUCACAGACGUGGACCAAGGGUUACUUGGAGAAGCAAGGUGGGGACAGAGACUGGGAUGGCAGAAAUCAGGAACAAAGCUAUUCUCGACCUCGAUGGUAACUUUUCCUCUCUUCCUGCUACCCAAUAGCUUUGCUUGUCAACUUGGAUGACAGAAUGGCCACUGAAUGUGUCAUGUGUCAUAUAAAGGGACUGCCAAUGUGAUCUGUUAGGCUCUGAACACAGCUCAUCUUUGAGAAGCCAAUUUUUAAAAAGGCUCAAAAAUUUGAGCUACAACCCUCAUGUUGAUUUAGUUCCUUUGGUCCAGCUGAUUUCACUUUGGGUAUCUUGCUAUAGAAAAGUUCACUGAAAUAAUAAGGGCAUAAAAAAUAUAAUCCAAGAUGCAUUUUAAGCACUGGAUUUGAGUAUUCUUUUCCUCUAUUCUCACUUUUAGAAACAAAUUUCAGUUUUAGUUUUCCUAAGAGGACAGAGGUUUAUCAAGAAUGUACAUAAUACAUCCCAACCCCCACACUGCAACAAAAUCUCAUGGCAAAAAUAUGCCCAGGAAAAAAACAGCAGAAAACAGCUAUCUGCCAAAUAAAUCAAAUAACACAAAUCUCAUCCCCACUCUCUGCCUUUUCUUUUUCGAACCUGUGUGAGACUUGAGUCGGGGGUCGAUCCAAGUUAAUUAAAAACUCUGAGGACCCCUCAUUGACACCACCAGUGCUGAAGGCCAUCUCCAGCAUCCUGAAGGAAUUCUGUUUCUUGCAAUGUAAUUUAAAGCCUCCCUUGUCAAUAGGACAUAAAAAAUCUCUGGCUGACCUACAUGCACUUACCUUUGGUGACAUGGGAAUAACCCAAUGUUUACUACUGGGUCAACAAAGUAAAUUAACUGGUUAUUUUCUACUCAAGACAAGCUGUAAGUAUAAUAAAUAUUGGGGAAAAACAAUUGGAAAGUGCAAACACUCCACAAGUCCUUCCAAAUUUCCAAUUUGAGCUUUCUCUGCAAAAUGCUGCCACAAUGAUCAGCUCAGAGACUGCCCAAAUCUUCUGCAGACUACACAGAGCCUCUGGCUUUGCUUCAUGGUGGAGUGGGGAGGAGAGGGUCCAGAAGCCAAGUCUGGUCUCCCUCCUGGCCCAGGCCUGGGGGCUGACUGGGCCUGGGGCGCAUGGUGAUCUGUUUUGUUUGUUUGUUUGUUUUUAAUCAGAAGCCACACGUGGUCCUGAAUGUGCUUACUGGGUUCAAUUUUCUUUCAAGUGUCCCCACUAAAUCUCAGUCUGCUAAGCAGAGACUUGAAUGGUAAUUUCUGAGUAAGUGCGGAAAACAGAACCAAACCAGUUUACUCAUAAGAUCAGCAACUAUUCUUGCAGCAAAAGCCCAGCGGGCCCCGCCACGCCGGCCCCAACCAGCGGGCAGAGCCUCACCUCCUCGACCGUCUCGUCCUGCGGGGUGGCCGCACUGUCG
rnacentral:lncRNA from 1 species